rnacentral:lncRNA from 1 species
AAUCCAGCAGUGAUAUUCCCACAUUUGAACGUUCCGUUGCGGCAGUUCUGGAACAAAUGCUCAUACUCACGCUCAUAGUCGGGAGUGGUUAGUGAAACAGGGAUCCCAAGCAUGAUAAAUAAUAAACAAAACAGAGGAAGAGGCAGAGGUGAUGAGAAAGAAGGAGAAAUCAUUUUGAGGGCAGAGAGAUGGAGGAAGAAAGGGUUGAUUGCUUGCCUCAGCUCUAAUGAAAUAAAAUUAAAACCAAGCUCAAAGAAAGACUUGGAAUAUAGAGUAGUUGAGUUGACUUGCAAAGACUUUGAGCUUCCAUAAGUCGUGUCGUGUGGGUAUGGGUGUGGGUGUAGCUGUGAUUAAAUGGAAAUGCAAAAUUUCAAAAUAGAAACAAGAGAUGGAGACACUUUAACACGCUUUCGCUCCUUACGAACUUGCCCUCAACUUUCUCAACAGUUGGAAAUUGUUGUGUCAUAACCCUACUUCUUCAUUCAUAUUACUGUUGAAUAAUUCCUCCAGAAUAGUGCCCUCAAAAAUUAUGUUUUAAAGUUAAAAUGAAAUCUUUGAACGAAAACUUAAAAAUUAAUUAAGUUAUAUAAUAUUUAAAUAUUUAAAUAUAAUCAUAUAUAAAGUAUGAAUUUUAAAUAGGUUUUAAGUAAUUAAUAUAAAUUAUAAUUAAAUAUUUUAAAAACUUAAAUAUAAUAAUAAAUUAUAUUUAUAUAAUUUAAUAUAAUGAUACAUAAAGUAUAAAUUAAUUUAAUUUAAUAUGUACAUUUUAAAUAGUUAGUAUAAAUAAUAAUAUUAUGCGGAUAAAUUUUUUUUCCUUAUUUCUUUAUUCUAGUGGUUUAUCUUUUUAUAUUUAUUCCUUUUAUAAAGUAAUCAAUAUAAAAAAAUAAGUAUUUUUGUAGUUUUAUAUUUUUAUAAAAUCUAAAAAAGAAGCAAUUUGAAUUUCAAAUGAUUUAUAUGUCAUGGGAACAACCGAAGUACAAAAUCGAUACUUAAUAGACGAAACUCUCCUUGACGUCGUUUCAAAGAUUUUGUGCUUAAGUCUUUUACGAAGUUCUAUCAAAUUUAUGUUCUAGUUAAAAACUAGUCGCGUUGUGUUCUCCGAUAAAAAAAACAACACCGUUCUCGAUGUCACAGACCUCACCAUCAUAGUAAAUAAUAUCACUAAUACGUUCACUCAUCUUCAAUUUCUAUUAUGCUUAGCCUCUCUAAUUUUUCUUACUGUAACUUAUGCAAUAUGAGAAUGAAAUUUAACUCAUUUAUAGCCUAAGGCCAAGCAGGAACUAUUGUAGAAAAAGAGCGUCCACGUGGAAGCUUUUUUCAAUAAUUUUGCUGACAGUGCAUCUUACUUGAAGCGUUUUUGACACUAUUUUUUCAGAAUCGUCUUCUCAAAAUUAUUUUUUCAAGAACUACUGUAUAAAAAGAGCAUUCACGUGAGAGCUUUUUCAGUAAUUUUGCUGAUAGUGCAUCCUACUUGAAGCAUUUUUGACAUUAUCUUUUCAAAAUCGUCUUCACAAAAUAAUUUUUUUGAAACUACUGUAAAAAAAAUCUUUCUUGUCGAUAUAAACCCCUCUAAACCCUUAACCUAAACCCUUUUACAAAACCCCUAAUAGCUAAACACAAAAAUUAUUUUUUUUAAAAACUAAAGCCUAAUUUAAUUUAUUUAUUUAAAACCCCUAAAUCUAAUUUAAUUUAUUUAUUUAAAACCCCGAAAUCUAAUUUAAUUAAUUUAUUUAAAACCCUUAAAACCUAAUUUAAUUAUUUUUUAAAAAAAACUCUAAACCUUAAUUUAUUUUUAAAAUUUUUUAAACCCUAAAUAAGUAAAACUCUAAAUUAUUUUAACAAAAUAUUAACACUACAACCCUAAACUCACAAACCCUAGGCACGAAACAUGCAAAUAGCCUUAACCCUAGAAAAACACGGGCUAAAAACGCGUCCCUGAGGGUGUGAUUUUGCCAUGUUAGUAAAGCGCGUCUACGUAGUGCAUUUUGUGCUAACAUGGGAAAAUCGCUCCCUUAGGGACGCGUUUUGCUAGAAUUUCCCCUUAAAAUGUUUAUACGUGAACACUAUUUAUUUAUUCAAAUAUUUAUAGUUGAAUCAAAAUUAAAGUUUCAUUUAUAUACUUAAACUGUAAUUAAAAUUUCAAGUGUAUAAUAAUACUGAAUCAAAAUUUAAACAUUAAAAUGCACAUGAAAAUUCAUGUAUAACUUCAUAUAUAUCCCAUUUAAAUAACAAAUUUUUUUACAACUUUGAUAAUUAGGCUAGCUUAGCCAAUGUGAAUUUACAUACGAGUUUAAGUAAUAAUACAAUAGGAACAUAUAUCAAUGCAUGCUUUAAAAUUUAAAUGUCAGUCCUUAAAGAAAGUGAUUCACGCCUUAAAUAUUGUUUUAAUUUCUUUAUUAUAUUUUAUCUACCCAUAUGUUUUUUUUUAUUGAGAAUUUAUGUUGAAAAUUGUGAUUUUAACUUCAGAGGGACAAAAGCAAGUCACUCCAUUGCAAUCCUUAAAAUUUGAGGAUUCUACUUCACUAAUUUCAAUCUUAGUAGUAUUAGUAAUGAUAACAAAUAGAAAGGAUUGAUUGUCUCAACCACAAGAGUGGAAUGUGUAUCACAAAUAUUUCAAUACCAUAAGUGUACAUAUUAGAUAAUAAUAAUUACAAUGAAGGUAAAUUCGAGUUAGAAAUAGUUUCAACAUCGAAACCUAAGAGAUAAAUUUUAAGAACUAAAAGUAAUGAAUCACUCUAGAAUUAAUUAGGCACUCUAUCCAAACAAUCGAUGAUAACUAUGUUGAGUUAAAUUAAUUAAUUUAAAAUUGAAGAGAUGAUGGAGUAGAUAUGUAACACCUUGAAAUUUGAGGUUAGAAGUUUUGAGAUUUGUAGGUAGGGUCAGUGGCUAGAUCGGACAAUUGGGUUUGUUGUUGUGUUUUAUGUUAGAAUGGGCAUGCUGGUCUGGUGGUUUGUUGUGUGUUAAUUUGUUUCCUCGUGUGUGUUUAUGGGAGUAAUUUUAUUUUCGAUUUGUUUUUUUAGUUGCUAAAAUAUUUAUUAGUUUUAGCUAUUUUAAUUUAUUUUUAUUUUGAGAAUAGAAAAAAAAUCCCCAAAAGAAAAAAAGAGUGUUGCACGCUCUUCCCCUCUUCUCUAUUUUGUUCUUUGUGACUUUUCAAUUUUCUUUCUUCCUAAAAAGAAAAUAUUCAGUUUCUUUGGAUUCUUUGCUUAUUCCAUUUUAUCGUUGUUGUUGGUUGUCAAGGGAGUUUUAUUGUCCGGUGUUUGGUAAAUUAGAAGAGAAGAAGGUAGGUUUUGCUUAUGAGGAUUUUGAAAAUGUCUCUUUCGUUUUCUAUUUUGUUAUUGAAUUGAAGUUUUCGUUAUGUUAAUUGAGGUUUUUGAAUUGGUUUAGAGGAGUGAAUCGAAUGAUUCUGGUGUUUGCUAUCAGAACGAAUCGAAUGAUUCUGGUGUUUGCUAUCGCGUCUAUGGUGUAUGUUCAGAAACUCUUCGAUUCCUUAUUGAAUUGCUGCUUGAGUUCUGCGAAAAUUUAACAAUUUUUGUGUAUUUCCAAAAUUGACUGAUCUGACGUGUGGUUUUGGUUUUGAAUUGUUGUGAAUUAUGGGAAAUUUUGUAAUUUCUGGUAUGUUUUUGAGUUUAAGCAAUUGAAUGUCUAUUUGAUGGUGAAUUACAUGUUUUUCAGGCUAUUUCGGUAUAGUUUCUUGACCACAAGGGUGGCCACAGGGUGUGUGCCCCACACGGGCAGUUUAUAUGGCCGUGUGCAAUUAGGAAUUUAGGGUUUUCGAUCAUUUUUGGUGCCACAUGGUCUGGCCACAAGGGCAUGUGUCCCCACAUGGGCGUGUGAGAUCUCCACACAGUCGUGUCUCCUCUGUUCUUAAUUUUUAGCACUUUUGGACAGUGAGUUACAUGGGCUACUCACACGGGUGUGUGUUCCCUCCACACGGGCGUGUGUGGCCUUUAUAUAGGCAUGUAGACCCCCACAUGGCCUAGGCAUUUUCACACGGCCAUGUGGCCUUAUGUCUCCAAAUUUUGUACUGUGUCUAUUUUUUAUCUGAUUAUGAUUCUGUGUGUUUCGACCCUUAGCUAAGUCUUUGUACUAGUGGUGGGGACCUUGUUUCAACCUGGACUUGUGCGUUAUUCCCAAUCAUAGCUCUAAUUAAGCAAUUCAGUUGAGUGUUAAUUAAUGUUAUGUUAUAUCUUAUUUUGAUUCUGGGCAUUUGAAUGUGUGCAUUUCUAAUUUCAUACUCUGUUUCUGUAAGUCUAUCUUCGAAUAGUGUGCAUUUUGUAUUUGCAUUAAUUUUUUUUGGGUUUGGUUGUGAAGAGAAGGGAAUCUGAUCUAUUUUAACAAUUUCAACUGCAACAUGUCUGUACAACGGUUUACCGCAAUGCACAGUAAUACAUAUAUAUUAGCUACGUUGCAUAUUAACAUUUGAGUGGCUUAGUUCACAUAUUUGGUGUGUAGGGUUGGAUGGGCCUUUCGAGGUCCUAUGAGAUGUGCAUGGUUGGAUGAGCUUAAUUAGCUCUUUUUGGGAUGUGAUUAGUGGAUGGAGAGAUGUUUGGCUGGUUGGGUGGGUUUUUAUUACUUGUUGCAUUUUGAGGUGAUGAGAAAGAAGGAGAAAUCAUUUUGAGGGCAGAGAGAUGGAGGAAGAAAGGGUUGAUUGCUUGCCUCAGCUCUAAUGAAAUAAAAUUAAAACCAAGCUCAAAGAAAGACUUGGAAUAUAGAGUAGUUGAGUUGACUUGCAAAGACUUUGAGCUUCCAUAAGUCGUGUCGUGUGGGUAUGGGUGUGGGUGUAGCUGUGAUUAAAUGGAAAUGCAAAAUUUCAAAAUAGAAACAAGAGAUGGAGACACUUUAACACGCUUUCGC